AGUGAACGCUGGCGGUAGGCCUAACACAUGCAAGUCGAACGGCAGCACAGUAAGAGCUUGCUCUUACGGGUGGCGAGUGGCGGACGGGUGAGGAAUACAUCGGAAUCUACUUUUUCGUGGGGGAUAACGUAGGGAAACUUACGCUAAUACCGCAUACGACCUACGGGUGAAAGCAGGGGAUCUUCGGACCUUGCGCGAUUGAAUGAGCCGAUGUCGGAUUAGCUAGUUGGCGGGGUAAAGGCCCACCAAGGCGACGAUCCGUAGCUGGUCUGAGAGGAUGAUCAGCCACAUUGGAACUGAGACACGGUCCAGACUCCUACGGGAGGCAGCAGUGGGGAAUAUUAGACAAUGGGCGCAAGCCUGAUCCAGCCAUACCGCGUGAGUGAAGAAGGACUUCGGGUUGUAAAGCCCUUUUGUUGGGAAAGAAAAGCAGCAGGUUAAUACCCCGCUGUUCUGACGGUACCCAAAGAAUAAGCACCGGCUAACUUCGUG
rnacentral:rRNA from 1 species